rnacentral:lncRNA from 1 species
GCGGUGCUGUGGAAUUCUCUGGUUUUUCACGCAAGGUCAGGCGUCCUGCUGGCGCCCUCUCGCCACCCUGCCCUCCCGUCAGAAGCCCGGCUCCUCGCCGGGGAAGGCCGGGUGUUGGCCCGCCGGGACCUGGGACUUGUGCCACAUGGAGUGUCGGGAGUCUCCAGUGCCGCGAGUUCUACACCACAGGGCCAGGCUGUUUGCUCCCCAUCGGUCGCUGCCCCCAGCACCCUGUUGUUAUUAAGGACUCAUUUGCUUGGAGCGGCAUCAUUACAAGGGUGUGGGGUACUACAUAUACUCCCUAUUUUUCUAUUUUCGAAAGGCUGCAGGCGCGAUGCACAGUGCGCUUGCACGGUGGGGCCUAGUGCUAGCCCGAGGAGCGGACGGGGGCCGGGCAGGGGCGGUGGGGGCCGGGCAGGGGCGGUGGGCGCCGGCCUCGUCUCGGUGCUGCUCGGUCAGGCUGUCCCGGCGCGGCGGCCUCGGGAGGCCCUGCCGUCCUUCACCCCUGGAGGCGGGCUGGGGGGCGGGUGCGGGGCGCUUCCCCUCCUCAGGGCCCUCAAACCGCAAGGGGGUUUCCGCUUCCCAGUCGAUGGUCGUCCUCUCCCAUCCCCGGCUGCAUCUCCAUUUACCCGUCGCCCAUUUCCUUUGCCCAUCCAGGCUCCUUGGCUCCACUGGGGUCUCCGUUCCCUUCUCCCGGUCCCCCCUCCAGGUCGCGGCUCCUUUGUCCAGGACUACGCAGGGGCUUGACCCCAGGGCGCUGGUUUAGGCCGGAUCUGGGGUCCCUUGUCACUCCCAGGCUUCUUCCACUUCCGGAUUCUGGAGAACCGGGAAUCAAGCCCUGCGCGUUCCUCUUCUUCCUCCUUCGUGCUGAAAGCACGCUUCAUGUCUGCCAGGGCAUCAGUUCUGAAAGUGAGCGGAGAACAAGGAGUUUCUUUUUCUUCCCCAGAAGUUGCCUUUUGUAAGGACUAUGUCUGCGCCAGGGCUUGAUACAUGUUGCUACUCCUGGGAGUGUGAGACUGGGAAGUUGAUGGAAAUGUCAGCAUUAGCUUUAAUGGUGAGGCCAAAGGGAGGAUGGACCCAGCAUCAAGCCUGGGUAGAGGAGAACGGGAGAGGGAGGACCAGAACCAGGGGCCCCCUGUUCACUGCCUUGAGGUGUCUGAAUCCUGCCUUUGCUGUUUGUGAGCUCUAGCACUAUGGGUAAGUUGGUUAACUUUUUGAGCCUCAGUUUCCUGUUCUGUCAAGUGGGAAUACAACUUCCUAGCUCACAGAGUUGUGGUGAGGAUUAUGAACUAUUAUGCAUCUACAGUGUCCUCCUGGCAAGUGAAAAGGCUCAGUAAAGGGUAACUGUUAUCAUGGUCCAGUCUAAACUUCCGUGCUAGCCCUUCACCAAAUUGAUCUUACAGAAAUCAAAAGGUUCCUGCUUUUCCCACCUUGUUUGGAAUUAGAAAAAACUUCCCCUGCACUAUUAGUGUGUUAUAGGCCUCUUCUCUCCAAGACAGAAAGGAAGAGAGGGUAACGGGGCUUAUUUUCUUCUCCCAGGACUCUUGAAGAAGGAUUCAGGAUGUGGCUGUGCCACUGGGGAUAAACGGUGUAACACUGGGGCAGGUCAGUUUCCUUGUUGGUACAAUGGGACUCUUAUACAGGCCCCUUUCUUUCCAGCACCAGAUACUGCUACACCAUCUCAUUGGCAUGGACCUAUAUGUGGCAGCAAGUCCAUCUCAUCGCUUUUGGUGAAAGUCAGUCCAGUUUGUAAAGAUUCUCAUUGUCACUGUAGACGAGGAACUGGGACACCAAAAGGAGAAACUCUGGCCACCCUUGCACCCUGUUCCCAAUCCUGGUCCAGUGUCACCCACAGAUGGUAAGGAGCUCUAGAGACCUCACCAGCCCCUGGGAUUGGUCACCUCACUCUUCUAUGGACAGAGAUUCCUGCUGGGAUCCUUUGAGGGCAAGCAGACCCUUCUUCCAGCUUGGACUGUGAACUCCACUGCAGCCGUAAGGACUGUCUGUGACAGUGAGCCCGAGAUGACUGGGCUCUGUGCUCCCUCCCGGCCCUCCAAUCCUUGGCCUGCCACAGAGAACUGAGCUCUUUUAUUAGCACCAUGAAUGUGACUGAUACAGCUAGCCAUUCCCUCGUGCGAAUGACUCAGUUUAUUAAUGCUCUGCUAAAGAUGGCUUCUUUGCUUGCCAGCAGCCUUAAACAGUAUUUCAUUAAAACUGGCUUAAUUAUUUUGAGAAGACGGCCCAAUUAAAAGCUAUACACUCCCUCUAUGUGAGUGUUUAUACAUAGAGCUGUAUCUAUAAUACAUAUUUGUAAGUGUGUAUAUAUAUAUGUGUGUAUGUAUGUGUCUAUAAAUAUAUAGGCUUAGCAAUUUCAUUACAUGGGAUAAAUUGUUGG